rnacentral:rRNA from 1 species
UGGGUUAGUCGGGUCCUAAGCUGAGGCCGACAGGCGUAGGCGAUGGAUAACAGGUUGAUAUUCCUGUACCACCUAUAAUCGUUUUAAUCGAUGGGGGGACGCAGUAGGAUAGGCGAAGCGUGCGAUUGGAUUGCACGUCUAAGCAGUAAGGCUGAGUAUUAGGCAAAUCCGGUACUCGUUAAGGCUGAGCUGUGAUGGGGAGAAGACAUUGUGUCUUCGAGUCGUUGAUUUCACACUGCCGAGAAAAGCCUCUAGAUAGAAAAUAGGUGCCCGUACCGCAAACCGACACAGGUAGUCAAGAUGAGAAUUCUAAGGUGAGCGAGCGAACUCUCGUUAAGGAACUCGGCAAAAUGACCCCGUAACUUCGGGAGAAGGGGUGCUCUUUAGGGUUAACGCCCAGAAGAGCCGCAGUGAAUAGGCCCAAGCGACUGUUUAUCAAAAACACAGGUCUCUGCUAAACCGUAAGGUGAUGUAUAGGGGCUGACGCCUGCCCGGUGCUGGAAGGUUAAGAGGAGUGGUUAGCUUCUGCGAAGCUACGAAUCGAAGCCCCAGUAAACGGCGGCCGUAACUAUAACGGUCCUAAGGUAGCGAAAUUCCUUGUCGGGUAAGUUCCGACCCGCACGAAAGGCGUAACGAUUUGGGCACUGUCUCAACGAGAGACUCGGUGAAAUCAUAGUACCUGUGAAGAUGCAGGUUACCCGCGACAGGACGGAAAGACCCCGUGGAGCUUUACUGUAGCCUGAUAUUGAAAUUCGGCACAGCUUGUACAGGAUAGGUAGGAGCCUUUGAAACGUGAGCGCUAGCUUACGUGGAGGCGCUGGUGGGAUACUACCCUAGCUGUGUUGGCUUUCUAACCCGCACCACUUAUCGUGGUGGGAGACAGUGUCAGGCGGGCAGUUUGACUGGGGCGGUCGCCUCCUAAAAGGUAACGGAGGCGCUCAAAGGUUCCCUCAGAAUGGUUGGAAAUCAUUCAUAGAGUGUAAAGGCAUAAGGGAGCUUGACUGCGAGACCUACAAGUCGAGCAGGGUCGAAAGACGGACUUAGUGAUCCGGUGGUUCCGCAUGGAAGGGCCAUCGCUCAACGGAUAAAAGCUACCCCGGGGAUAACAGGCUUAUCUCCCCCAAGAGUUCACAUCGACGGGGAGGUUUGGCACCUCGAUGUCGGCUCAUCGCAUCCUGGGGCUGUAGUCGGUCCCAAGGGUUGGGCUGUUCGCCCAUUAAAGCGGUACGCGAGCUGGGUUCAGAACGUCGUGAGACAGUUCGGUCCCUAUCCGUCGUGGGCGUAGGAAAUUUGAGAGGAGCUGUCCUUAGUACGAGAGGACCGGGAUGGACAUACCUCUGGUGUACCAGUUGUCGUGCCAACGGCAUAGCUGGGUAGCUAUGUGUGGACGGGAUAAGUGCUGAAAGCAUCUAAGCAUGAAGCCCCCCUCAAGAUGAGAUUUCCCAACUUCGGUUAUAAGAUCCCUCAAAGAUGAUGAGGUUAAUAGGUUCGAGGUGGAAGCAUGGUGACAUGUGGAGCUGACGAAUACUAA